GUUGAGUACGGGCCAGCAGGCGGGGUGAGACGUAGGGUCCAAGCGGUAAACGGAAUUACUGGGCGGAAAGCGUGCGCAGGCGGUUGGGCAAGACCGAUGGGAAAUCCCCGAGCUUAACUUGGGAAUUGCAUGGGUGACUGCACGGCUAGAGUGUGUCAGAGGGGGGUAGAAUUCCACGUGUAGCAGUGAAAUGCGUAGAGAUGUGGAGGAAUACCGAUGGCGAAGGCAGCCCCCUGGGAUAACACUGACGCUCAUGCACGAAAGCGUGGGGAGCAAACAGGAUUAGAUACCCUAGUAGUC
rnacentral:rRNA from 1 species